rnacentral:tRNA from 1 species
UCUCUGAUAUCUCAGAUGGUGAAGAAUUUGCCUACAAUGCAGGAGGCCCAGGUUCAACUCCUGGGUCGGGAA